UCUGAGUGCCCGUUUAAGCGGGAGAAUAGGGAAUCGCGUUAAAGGCGCGAGCGGUACCGCCACUGUAAGUGCCGACAGAUCACGAUCAACGUCAUUGGAUAGCAUCCGAGAAGGCAGUGAUCUUUCAGUAAAGCACGAGCCAGGAGACCUGCUCAGGC
rnacentral:ncRNA from 1 species